CAAAGGAAAAGCCAUAGGAGAACAUAGCCAGAAGGUGGCUAUCUACAAGCCAGGAGGCGAGCUUCUCACCAGGAGCAAAUCCAUGAGCCUGGACUACCCACCUCCAGAACUGAGCUGACUACACAAGAGAAAGUACAUCAGAAUUUCCUUUGGAAGUAUUGUCAGCUGCUGACAUGGAUAUUUCAAAUUUGAGCUCCCAGUUUGGAGAGCAACAGAGAUUCAUAACUUCUUUAAAGACCUCAUCUCAUUUUGUGGAGGAAAGGAAGGGUGUAUAAGGAGACAAGUUUGCUUUUCGAUACAAUUUCAGUGUAAAGUUCUAGAGGUCUGAAGUCCAACAUGUCUUCCACUGGGCUGAAGUCAAGGUGGCAGCAGGGCCCUAUUCCUUCUGGCUGUUCCAGAGGUGAACUCAUUUCUUUGCUUUUCCCAGCUUGCAGAGGUAACUUGUAUUUGUUGGCUCCACACCCCUUGUUCUGUCUUCAAGGACAGCAACACAACAGUGAGUCUCCGCCACGCCCCCUGCCCUCUCCUUUAUAAAUUUCCUGUGCCUACGCUGGGCCCACCUGGGUAAUUCAAACUACUCUCCCCAUCUCAAGUUCUUAACCUAGUCACACCUGUAAAGCCCCUUUUGUCGUGUCGCAUCAUAUAUUCCCUGGAGGUUCUGGAGAUUAGGAUAUGGACAUCUUUGGGAGCCAUCAUUAAGCCUACCACAGUAAAAAUUAAUGGGGUGUCUACAAUAUAAUGCUUACUCUAAAGAAGAUACUUAGUCUUCAGAAUUUCAUUGGAAAUCAAAAUAUUUACUGUUCACUAGACCAAUUAACCCCACCCAGAUCAGAACUGUUAGAGUCAAUUCAAAUGAAAAUCUUUCCAAUUCAACUCCACAAAUGCAUUUUGGGUGCAAGUAUUACACUGGAAUGUUGAGAAAAAUCCAACAGUUCUUUGGGUAAAAGGAGUUGUCAAGGUAAUUUCUUUCUAGGCUGUGGAUUUCUCCACAGAUGUUGCAGAUAAAUCAGGAAGAGGCUGGAGUCAUGGCACCUGUGUUUAGUAUUCUCCAAACUGUGCUCAGAGCUGAAAAACCAUGAACACUUUCUCCCAUCCCCAUUCCCUGUAAAGGAGUUAUGCAGCUGGUUUGCCCUGCAGUUCUGACUUUUCCAAAUUUUGUAACUUUAUGCCUUCAGACACAGAAAACAGCUGAGGAGGCCGUGCCCAGUUCUUUAGGUGGCUGAUGAUCGCCCUCGCCCUGUUCCCUCUGGAUGCCUCUCUCUCUGCGGAUGAUGAGUGACGUGUGGCGAAGGUGGAGCAGGUGUGCCGUGUCCGCCCUUGGCGUGUUGAAGCGUGACUCGGAGGAAGAAACUUGGCUUUUCCAUUUCUUACAGGAGAAGGGAACCAAAGGGAUGACAGACUCCCAUAGGAAAUGCACACACACAUCUGUUUUUUUGGAUUUGAUGCUCUAGGCAGUUUCAGAAAACAAACCCCAGAGUAAAACCAUCAACAUGAGAAUGCCUUCCUGCUGUUCAAAAUUAGUCUCAGAAGCUAAGUAGCACUUUCUGACCAGGUGCAGGAGAAUUUUUUUUUUCUCUCCUUUUUUCCUAAACACAAAACUAAUUUUUAUUACUUUCCUGGGCAAUAAAUUAUUCUUUUCAAAUAACAUUUGGAUAAAAAUAUCAGAUGACCCUGGCAGUUUUUAAACAUAGAUAUUUCUCAUUCAUAAUCUUCGAAAACAAAAUCUAGCUUUUGGACUUUAUAUAUCCUCAAAUAAGAUCUAGAUAUAAGUAUGUAAAUUAUGGCUGUGUAUAAUAAAUAUGUAGCCUACUGAGGAAUUAGCAUCAUUAAGAAGAGAACUACUUACCUGAUAUUUUUGUCUGCUUUUGGCAUACAAACAGUUGUGUGCUGGUAAAUUAAUAAUAAAAGGCUCUCUAGGGGAAGACAGGCCUAAUUUGUAAUGUUUGUUGCUUUCUAUGGUGUUAAAAAAUGGGCUUCCCUGGUGGCUCAGUGGUAAAGAAUUUGCCUGCUAAUGCAAGAGAUAUGGGUUUGAUCCCUGG